rnacentral:rRNA from 1 species
AGCAGCCGCGGUAAUUCCAGCUCCAAUAGCGUAUAUUAAAGUUGUUGCAGUUAAAAAGCUCGUAGUUGAAUUUCGGGAUCAAGUUGUUGGUCGUGCCUCGGUACGCACUGGUGACAUUGGUUUCUCCCUUCUGAAGAACCUUGAUGUCAUUAAUUUGGUGUCUUGGGGAAUCAGGACUGUUACUUUGAAAAAAUUAGAGUGUUUAAAGCAGGCUCACGCUUGAAUACAUUAGCAUGGAAUAAUGAAAUAGGACGUUUGAUUCUAUUUUGUUGGUUUCUAGGAUCGAUGUAAUGAUUAAUAGGGAUAGUUGGGGGCAUUAGUAUUCAAUUGUCAGAGGUGAAAUUCUUGGAUUUAUUGAAGACUAACUACUGCGAAAGCAUUUGCCAAGGAUGUUUUCAUUAAUCAAGAACGAAAGUUAGGGGAUCGAAGACGAUCAGAUACCGUCGUAGUCUUAACCAUAAACUAUGCCGACUAGGGAUCGGAUGAUGUUAAUUUUUAAUGA